UGGGGAAUAUUGGACAAUGGGCGCAAGCCUGAUCCAGCCAUGCCGCGUGUGUGAUGAAGGCCUUAGGGUUGUAAAGCACUUUCGCCGAUGAAGAUAAUGACUGUAGUCGGAGAAGAAGCCCCGGCUAACUUCGUGCCAGCAGCCGCGGUAAUACGAAGGGGGCUAGCGUUGUUCGGAAUUACUGGGCGUAAAGCGUACGUAGGCGGAUUGUUAAGUGAGGGGUGAAAUCCCGAGGCUCAACCUCGGAACUGCCUUUCAUACUGGCAAUCUUGAGUCCGGGAGAGGUGAGUGGAACUCCUAGUGUAGAGGUGAAAUUCGUAGAUAUUAGGAAGAACACCAGUGGCGAAGGCGGCUCACUGGCCCGGAACUGACGCUGAGGUACGAAAGCGUGGGGAGCAAACAG
rnacentral:rRNA from 1 species